AUGAAAUGUUGUGUGAUUCUACACAACAUGGUCAUCGAGGAUGAGAGAGGGUUAAAACUGCCUUGUUUCUAUGACAAUGUUGGUACUCGUGUGCAACCGGAAAGAAACCCUUGUCGUGUACAAGCUUUUCUUGAAGCACAUCGUCAGAUUGAGGAUGCAAACACUCAUGGUCAGCUCCGGGAUGAUCUAGUAGAGCACCAGUGGCAGUUGGCUGGGCGGCGCCAAGGCCCAUGA
rnacentral:rRNA from 1 species